UGGGUUCAGUGUUUAUUUUCAGUUUUACUCUGAAGUACUAUUUGUAACUUGGCGGUUAGGCUAAUGCUGCUGUUAGCAAACAAUCUGAUGUUAUCCACUUUAAUCCCACCGGCAAUGGACUUGGUGAUUUACAUUCUCUAUUUCGUUUGUUUAUUACUACAAAAUAUCUCCAAUAUCUAAUAUCUUACUUUGCUUUUAUAUUUCAUAUCGACAUUUACAAAAGGGGCUGCUACGAGCUGAUUAGCCUCCACUUAAACACUUUCUUGUCCUUUUCAAAGGACUGUGGCGCAAUGUACACUUUUUUAUAUCUAAUAACAUUGUUGCCAUCACCGCUGCCACGCGCUCCCAUGCGGCUCCUCCGUGCAUAGCUGCACACGGAGGCUGCGGGUGAAGCUGCAGCAACGGGACAGACGACACUGAACAUCUGCAGGCUGUCUGUAAGGAGCAAUUUAAACCCCAACGUGUCGCUUCUACCAUUGGACUGAGGCGCCGCGGCAGCGAACACAAUAGGACACUGAAGGGCCUAAUUAUUGCCCCUAUCAUCUACAUAAUUACAAUGUUUUUCUGAGGCAGGGGUAGUAUAGAAAUUGUAAAUUGUAGUGGACCCGCUGUCUCUCCUUAGUGGAAGUCACAUUUGAAUGGAGAGAGCCGGUUCUGCUCGCCUGGCAGCCGGGCUCAGGCGAGAGGUCCCAAUCAGCCAGCAUCACAGACUGCGCAUUCAAUAGGAUUUAAAAAGCCAACUGUGUGGAGAAAUGAGAGUUUUGCCCCCCAAAUCAUAUGGAAUUACAGUGGUGGUUGCAUAUGGGGGGAGCCAGUGGCAGCCACAAAAGCCCACAGGAAGCAGCUAUUUCUGUGUGUUUUAUUAACCCAACCAAGCAAUUUAAUUCUUUUGUUCGGGGGAGUUCUACUUCAUUGAUUAACAAAAGCGGGGAUAUAAUUUUUUCAGCCCCUUUUGAAAAGCCUGAAAUGUCAAGCCUUUUAAAGGAGAUUAUUCUGCCUGUGUGUGAUGAAUAGCGCCCAGAGUAACCUUUUGUCUACAAUUAAAUAUUCCAGCAUAAAUAUAAAAGAAAAUCAGAGAUGGGGAAGAUUGAGUCAGGAGAGAUUGGAGAGGUAGAUCCUCUGCCCGAUAGUGGCAACAGCCGGGCUCUAAUUAGAUAUGCCAAGCAGGCUGUGAGCAGUCACUCUCCACAGCACGCGCAGAGAGGAGGCAGCCUGAGACGAGGACAGAGGGAACCUAUCUGCUCAUCUGUCUGCCCAGCGCCUUCCUUUGGGCAUCCACCAGUGUUUUUGUAGGAUAGACCCCAUCAGCCCCGUGACCUUUGUGAGGAUGAAGCGGUUCACAUGAUGAGCGAGCAUUUGUUGGCACAGAGAUGUGUGCGACCCGGAGAGAGAGCGUGAGCUGCGGAGACAAGGAGAGUGAAAGAAAGAAAGAGACGGCAGCCUUUUCUUUCUGAGAGAUCCCUGUGUCAGUCGUGUAAGAAAGCCGCCAAACCAAUAAUUUUGUCAAGUUCUUUUUUUAGCGGAGCGGGUGAAGCAUCUUUGGAUUGCCACAUGUAUAAAGGCAGCCCACAUAAAGCCAUUCACAGCACUGAAUGAACACACCAUCUGUGGGGCUUUCUUAUUUCCUCUUCUCUUUUCUUCCCCUCCUUUUUCAAGCCUUGUAAUCAAAUUUGAGCAAAAUCAAAUGGCGGGAGGAUAGAGGGAGAGCAGUGGGGGGGGAGGAGGGUUCAAUGAAAGUACCUUUUGUUGGUCUGAAACGAGCAAGUAAUUUACAAAAUGCCCUCCCUUUGUGCAGGGGGCUAAGGGAAGAAAGAAAUCAGUAGCUUUUAGAAGCUAGGCCUUGCGCUGCGACGGGCAAGAUAAUGAAAGCCGUCUUGUGUUUGUGGGCUAGAGAGCAUUUCAAAGGCAGACCGGGCCCCGGCUCAGGGUUAGCUUGGCUGCUGGAAAAAAAACAAAAAACACAACACUCUCCUCUGUGUAUGUGUGUGUUUGGCAAAGAGCGGCAAACGCGACGGCUGUGCCCGGCGUCUCUUGGCAGAGACACUCGGAGGAACAGGCAGAGCAACAGAGUUGUCAACGCUGAGGGCGACGAGGCAGGAGCGGCUGAGCUCUCACCUGUGCUCCUGUCACAGGUGCACGGGGCCGGCCCCGCAUCCAGAGGUGCAACACCUCCGUAAGGGAGCGUGGAGAUAUGAAGGCGAUGGAGCGUCCCGCAGUCAUCACUGUGCAGGAGGAUUACGAGGGGCAGAAGGAGGAUUUCAGCUCUUUUCAUUAUCCCGGUCCUCUGCGAGGACGCCUGCACCUGAAGGACGCAUGGAAACCUGUGGGAAUCUGCUGGAUUAUUACCUGAGUGGCACAGAGCGAUGUCAUGGAUUAUUAAAGAUGGACCCUGGCUGACAGCUGGUACCUGGUGUGUCGUCCUGCAGCAGAGGCUGAUUGAAUUGUGCCACGUUACAACCUAAAUGAGACGGAUAUGAAUAAACAACAACGCUCCCUCCUGUGAAUAGAAGAGCAACAUGGCAGCGUGGAGCCUGGAGGGAACCAGGGUCUGGCUCUGUACGAUGGACAAAUGGUUUUCCACUUUCCCACUUUGGAUGCUCUCCCGUCUCUCUCUCUCCAGCUCCCACCAUUACCUGCCCCUCCUCUCCCUCCAGUCGUGUCAUCUUGUCCGUACCCCACCUAUCUGUUCGGCUACAUCUCCAAGAUGCUGUAAUUUCCUUGGCAUGGCUUGAUGUUUAUUGUGAGGCUGAAAUUGAAAAUGGCCUGUAAUGGAGCGAGCCUCGCAGCCCCGGGACCAAUUCACAAUCUAAAUGACUUGCUUCUUUUCAAUGGCAUCGACUGGAGGGCUCUUUGUGCAGCCUCGUACCUAAUCAACCUCCGGUGUGACCCCCAGCUCUCGGGGGCUGCUGUCGGAUUAAUGAUAAAAUCAUUGGUUCAAACAAUUAUUCGACCUGAAAUGGCUGGCCAUUUUAUUCUGAAAAUUAAAGAAUGUGAAAUUAAUUUUUUUCUGCGCUGUGUCGUAGCAGCGCCACUUAUGGCUGAACUCUGCCCCCCAAACUCUUGAUUUCACAUGAAAGAGUGCUUUUACUUUAUCUAGUUUCUCACUUAGCAUUUUUUUCAUCGUUUUUUUGGGUGCGUUGUUGCAAAUAGCUUCCCAGGUGUCAGAGUAGCAAGGCCUCAGCUGUGUGCUGUCUUUCCGUCAGCUUGUCUGACUUUCCUUUUAUCUGUCCGCUAACCAACAUGGCGUCUUCUUUGGCUUAGCGAAGCUCAGAAAUUUUUCUUUACUCAAGAAAAGUCUCCAGCUAAACUUUAAGCGCCCGCUAACGGAAAUAGAGUCGUUUUGUUACAGGCUGAUGCUGCUGGUCCACUUUCUGAGAUUAGAAUAGUGUUGAUUUGCAGUCUUUAAUGUGCCCGUCAGUCUUUGUGUACAGCUGCUUUAUAUCAUUUCCCUUUGGGGAGAACUGUGUCAUAGUCCAAGACUUUUGCACAUAUCUUUCAUAUUUCAAAAAGGAAGAAGGAGAAUAGUGUGUUUUUCAUAUGGCGACCUGAGGAGAUGCCCUUAGUCCAUGAACUUGGGGAAUAAUCUGCUCCUUUUCAAUAGGUUCUAGAUUAAUAGUCGAUGAAUCGUUUAACUUGAAUGCGUUUUGCAGAAUGGAGUUUGGUUUGGGGAAUUUCUUCUGACUCUGUCCAAGUACAAAAUGGGACAUGACUUACUGUAUGUGACUCAUCAGAUGUUGGAUAGAAACCACUCAUGAAGCCAGUGUGAGUGAAUGGAAAUAGAUAAAUAUUCUUUGUAGAUUGCAUCGAGAUGUUGUUUCUUGAGGUAGAGAUUCUAUUGUUGUGUGCACCCACUGAUACUAAAUGUGACGCUGAAGAUGUUUUAUUUUGAAGGGAUAACAAAGCUAAAAGUGUUGCUAUUCAGAGAGAAAGUGUUGUGUUUCUAAGUGUGAGUAAUUUGGAUGCAUGGCUGUGCUUCCUGUUGCACCCUUGUGUUUGUUUGGCGGUGUUUCUCCGCCUCGUUCGCGGUGCAUUCUGGGACAGUUGACCCCAAACAGAGUAAGGAAGUCUCGGGGCUGGAUGAAUUAUUGAUCGUCUCCCCGUGUGCGACUAAAGUCUGAUGAGCCCCGCUGUGCACUUGUGUCCCUCAAACACCACUUGAUUACUGGCUGUGUAUUUAUCAUCAUCAUUGUCAUCAUCAUUAUCAUUAUCAGUCUGCUCCCCUCUCUUAAGUCUGAGACAAUGGGCUCUCCUAAAAGGCUCUUAUUGAAUGGGAGCUCACUAGCCUUCACAGCCUCAGCCCGUCCUAGUCCUCCUCAGCAGCCUGCAGUGUGGCUAGGUAAUUACCCGGGGAUUGAUUCCCCUAACAGAGACCAUUUCUUCACCUCCUGCAGAAUCACUAAGAGGCUUAUAAUAAGCCCAGCUCACCUCCAUAGCUUCCAGGCUAAUGUCUCGGCGAGCCAGAGCCUCUAUUGACUUGUUGAUGGAGAUGCUGGAGCUGUGCCGUGAGUGAGGGGAGGAGACUCUGCAGAGCCGCGAUUAUUAAAAGGCCACCAAGUUCUGUUUCCAUCACAGCCAAGAUAAUAUCUAUAUGUGCCAUGGAGAUUUCACUGAGACACGUCAGUGGAGGGUUUGUCAGGACUUAAAACCAUCCUGGACCUUUGGCCUGCGGCUCAGAUGUAGAUUCAUGAUGUGGCUGUGCCAGCGGGGACAAAGCGUAAAGUUAGACUUCGGCCUUGUUUGUGAAGUUCCAGGGCACCGUUCAGUGAGGUGACCAAGAAGAGCAGAAAGUUUGGCUUCAUUAUGCGCUUUUAAACAAAACCGCCUUCAUGGCUUUGCUAAUUAUCAUUCUGAGGACGCAGCAAUUUGUUACUUCCAAUCUGCCAGUCAGCAGCAGGGCAUGAAGAGGGCUGGGAGCCAGAGGGAACAGAGGCUCUCAUUCAUUCAGACAGGGUUAGGGUGGGUGUGUGUGCUCAUCCACUGCAGAUCCGCCGUGUUUACCUUUAUCACAUUUAGAUUUAGCUGCUCCAACGUGUCUGCGAUUUAUGUUCAUAUUUUAGAAUUCUUCGUUUUUUACCUCUGCACUGCUCUAUUACCAUCAUACAUAUCAAUCCUCAUUAGUAAUGUUCAUAUCAUUAUUGUAAUUAUUUUCCUCAGAUGCUUUUAUUUAUGAAACUAAGAAUGUUUUUGUACAAACUUCUUUUACUUGAACUUUCAGUUGUUCAUUCUUCUUCUUUUCUCUUUCUUUGCUUCCUCUAUUCUUUCCACCUUCUCUUCUCAAACAACACCAGAACACGCACUGACCUACAUUUCAGAACCACCAAACAUCUGACACACUACCGUCCAAUUCAGUAGAAACCCCCGCCGAUAACGCCUUCAUUUAAUUUCUGACGGACGCACUGCGAAUGUAAAUGUCCGAGCUUUUCAGAGUGCGCUUUCAUUUUCAGCACCGGCUGCUCCGCUGUCGUCUGAAAGGAAAAUGUUUUUUUGCCACUGCGCCCAAUUCUGUUGACAAAGUGCAAAGCGCUGACUGUCACUUUGUUUGUGUGUGUUGUGAUGAAUGUGAGUUAGCGCCAGCACGACCUCCAGCAGAAAUACGACUUGUUAACUGCAUUGGUAGCUUUUAUUUGGACGGGAUUCACAUUUUCAUAAGAAUAAGAAUUUCAUUCACUCCUGAAAUGUCUGCAGCCUUUUGUCAAAGUCCUUUAGGGCCCAGAUUUGGAAAGAUGACUGCAAAUAGUCGUCACCUGAACUUUCUUCCCCCGACUCCUCCCUCGCUGCGUUCCUGUGCUGCUUCUCACCCGUCCCACCUUCCCGACCGGGACAAACGUGUGGCUAACGAGGGGGCUGGUUGGGAAAGCUGUGGGGAGUGGAGCGUUGAUGUGACCUUUGCCACACUGGGGCAAUUAUUAUUCAUGGAGUCGGGCUUCGUUUGAGGGAUGCGUGAUCGUUUUGAGUCCGUUGCGUUCACACUGCAGUAAAGUGCAGCAUCAUGAAUUUCAUAUUUACUGACGUUUGGAUGCAGAAGUGCUACUUAACAUUUUGGAGUGGGUUUGAACUGGCUGGGUAGUUUGUGUUGAGGGGCCCUGAUUUCUAAGGCAGCUCUGUCUCUGUUUCUGACUGAAGCACAUUGUUCCAGAUCAAGGGAUGGGAACGGGGCCUUUGGCAGCAGGGGAAUGAAGCGCGCACACACACACACACACACACACACACACACACACACACACACACACACACACACACACACAUUGAAGACACAGCACACAUACAACGUGAGCUGGAGCAGCAGCUCAACGACUAUUAAUAGUGUGCGACGGUUCAAGUCAGCACCAGUGUUUUCUGACGCACGCUGUGUUUGCUCCACAGUCUGCUGACGACUUUAAAGGUUUCACGGCUCAGGAGCAGCUCGGUCGAUCCCAGAGCUUCUCCUGAUGUCGCCUGUUUGAGGCACAGUGUAGAUGAGGGGGAAAGUUGUGACCUUCAUAACUGACGCUGUAUAAAUACGUACAAAUCAGCCCCAAUAAAAAAAAAACUUUAAAACCGCUCAGUUGAGUUGCUGCCAUUCAAAUUACACCACAUGCAUCCACUGUAUGAUAAACAGCAAUUAAUUAGGUGUUUAUACAUAGAAUCCACAAUCAGUAGCUUUAUUGUACACCAUCAAGGCACAAUGUUUUAAUAUUAACCUUAAACUUAUGAUAGUAUUUAGCAGAUUGCUGAUUUUGUAGAGUGUCGUCAACUGUAUUUUCCAUGACAAAGAAAAGAAAGUCCCGGGUGCAUCGAUUAUGAGAUGCUCGGCCUCUGAAUACAUUCCUGAAAUGCCUCCCGUCCUACCAGAAGCCCAGAGCUGCCCUUUCACACAGCAAACAACUGGAAAUUCUCAGGCUAUAGGAGGCGCCUGCAGAGUCCAGAGGCCUGAUGUGCCACAAAAAGCCAGAAUAAACUCCUGAUGGACACAAUUCAGUGCAGUGCAUUAAUAAUAACUCAGCGUUUCACAUUUUGCUCCAUCAUUGUGCUUUGGCCAUCGCAUUAAAAAAGUGAAGCUACUUUCAUUUGACAUUGCAUAUCACAAAGCAGAUUUGUCCUCUGAGCCUGUAGGCCUAUUUGGCUAACGAUGCUAAGUGGAAUCCAGCGCAGACUUCAGCAGGCGACAUGACGCUCCCUGUGUGCAGCGUUCACAUGGGAUCUGUGUGUGUGUGUAGCCAUGGGACAGAGCCGUGGACCUGGCCUCUUGUCACAUGGCGGAUGACGGCUCAGUUGUGGGUGGCCUGUGUAAAGGUCAGUUGGCUUAGCAAGCAGCCAGAAGGUCUGUGUGUGUGAGUGAUCAGGCCAUUCUCGAUGUGUGUAAAUGUGUGUGUCAGACCUUGAAGACACAGUGCUUCCUUUCUCCUCUCAGUGCAGCAGUGACUUCUGGGUAAGGGCUGACUCAACUGGGCGUCCAGGACACCACUGAGCAACACACACACACACACACACACACACACACACACACACACACACACACACACACACACACACACACACACACACUCUCUCUCCUUCCCGUAAGACUUCUCCCACAGCCGCGACCACCAUGGCAGAGCAUUCAGCGUUGCCAUGACGAUUGCUCUGUGUUUUAAUGGCAGGCCUGAUGACCUGUGACGUCAUCGCAUGAACUUGGAGGUGAUCGGUUCCCUGCUGACCCUGACGCAUAAUGAGCAGUUCUGCGUUUGCUAGUGAAAACUGUGGCAUGACAAUAUAAAGAGGAGUGACAGGAAAUGAAGAACUGUGAAGCAGCGGAGUCACCGGUGGUGAUGUAAGAUGGAGUCAGGACAGUCUCUGUCCUUUGUGACUCCUUUUACGUGGACGUCUGAGGGGAUUGAACCCGCAACCAGGGCGACAGGAGCACAAUGUGCUGACAACUGCAGGGGCCUAAGCAGAUGUAAAUAAAUGCUCUUAUUUGGAGCCUAAAUAUUGUUCCCUCUGUGCAAGAAGAGCAAAUCUAUAUUGACUCUUGCCAUUUUUGUGUCGCCCUUCAAUUUAUAAAGAUUUUAUUUAUUUUAAAAAACAUAAAAUACCAAUGUGAAUAGAAAUGGUGAUGGAAGACAAAAGUCUCAUCUUCAGGGAUGUUAGUCAUUUUGAAUGCUCAUUAAAUGAAGAUAAAAAGUAAAUCUAAUGCUAAGUGUUGUGGUCCUUGAGCAGCACCUAAAGACCUAAAGGUUGCUAAAAGAUUGUCAAGUGACACUCGUUUCGCUUUGUGACACAGCAUUUCAUAUUUACUGCUUUUUCAAAUCAUGUAUUCAUGAAUAAAUGUGUAAUUUUAUGCAUUUAUACUCAUGAGAGUGUCAUUUAUUAUAAGACGAUUAGGUAAAUGUUUAAAAAUACAACUGCGUUGUUUCCUUUUUGUGAACUUUUUUUAUUUCAUUUGUAGGACAUUGAAAUGUGAAUAUUUGGGUGUUGAGUCGUGAUUUGUUUUUGAUGUGACUUGACUUUGGUGGAUUAUGGUCUAGUCUUGUUGUCUUGCUUCUGUGCAGGUUAAACCUGUGGCUUCCUACAGGAUGAACAGCCUGGUUGUCCAUGAACAGCGGGUUCUUGGGAAACGGCCAGAAUAACUUUUAUAUGUUAUUAUAUGACUGGCGCUCAUCCUAGAAGGCGCGCUGCUGUGGAAAGUGAUUUGACUGUUAAUUGUCACAGCAAUUACACAACCUUAAAAUCCAUUUUAUUGGCUCCUUACAACAUUUGGCUCCGUGUAGAUGUUAAAUUUAAGAAUAAAUGCGUAGCCUAUUUAAACUCGCUGUUUAUGAAGGAUCCGCUGUGCCAGCUCAAACUCAGCUGGCUCUGACUGUUCUGCAUUAGAUCAUUAAUUAAAACAUUUCCUGCAAAUGUUCUUAAAUACCGUGCGCGGCCCAGGGUGUUGUGACAUCAUCACUGUCAGCGUCACCUCCGCUCUGAUCUGCGUCGCCGCCUAAACGCCGAUCAGUGCGGCCGAGGCCUCUCUCUCUGGGUCUGUUUGUCUGACUCGCCCCGUCUCCCUGGCUGUGUUGAUAGCGACAGGAGACAGUGGCGUGCUGGCAGGUGCAUGCCACCAAAUUACCAUCCGCACACACACACACACACACACACACACACACACACACACACACACACACACACACACAAAGACGGCCUCUCCUGUGCCGAGAAAGCUGCCAUUAUCAUAUCAAAGCGUCUCUCACAGAGACGUGGCAGUGCUUCAAUUUAAGCAAUUAAUGCAGAGAGAGACUCUGUCACGCAGCCCAGCGUCUCCCUACCCUCACCCCUGAGCACACACACGCACACACACACACACACACACACACACACACACACACACACACACACACACACACACACACACACACAAACACACACACACACACACACACACACACACACACAGGCUCUCCUGUGGCACUUGGAGACAAACAAAGGUGUUGGGAAGCGAGGAUCCAUAUUCUCAAGGCCA